rnacentral:rRNA from 1 species
GGGUAUAUCUUACAUGAUUCUGCCCAGUGAUUUUUUUUUAAAUGGCCGCAGUACCUUGACUGUGCUAAGGUAGCAUAAUCAAUUGGCUUCUAAUUAAAGUCUGGAAUGAAAGGAAAUAUGAAGUAAUUCUAUCUUAAAGGAUUUUUUUUGAAUUUAUUUAAAUGAUGAAAAUAUCAUUUUAUAGAAAAAAGACGAGAAGACCCUUAGAGUUUUGAUAUUUAUAUAUUUUUGUUGGGGCGACAGGUAAACAUAUAACUUUACGAAUUAUCAUUGAUCGAUUUUUUAUAAGAAUAAUAAAACUACCUUAGGGAUAACAGCAUUAUAUUUUUUUUUAUGAUUGUGACCUCGAUGUUGGACUAGGAACUUUAUGGCUAGCCGUCAAAAAAGAUUUGUUCUGUUCGAACAAUUUUAUCCUACGUGAUCUGA